UACGGAGGGGGCUAGCGUUGUUCGGAAUUACUGGGCGAAAGCGCGCGUAGGCGGACCCGCAAGUCGGGGGUGAAAGCCCGAGGCUCAACCUCGGAACUGCCUUCGAUACUGCGGGUCUCGAGUCCGGGAGAGGUGAGUGGAAUUCCUAGUGUAGAGGUGAAAUUCGUAGAUAUUAGGAAGAACGCCCGUGGCGAAAGCGAGCCCCUGGACGCUACU
rnacentral:rRNA from 1 species